UACGUAGGGUGCGAGCGUUAAUCGGAAUUACUGGGCGUAAAGUGUGCGCAGGCGGCCGCGCAAGUCGAGUGUGAAAGCCCCGGGCUUAACCUGGGAACUGCGUUUGAAACUGGGAGACUUGAGUGUGGCAGAGGGGGGUGGAAUUCCACGUGUAGCAGUGAAAUGCGUAGAUAUGUGGAGGAACACCAAUGGCGAAGGCAGCCCCCUGGGUCAACACUGACGCUCAUGCACGAAAGCGUGGGGAGCAAACAGG
rnacentral:rRNA from 1 species